UGGGAAACAGGAAGCAGCUUUUUGUGCUGCUUCAAGAGUCCUUCCUCUAAGGCCCGGGGCCUGAAGGCAGUUUACAAAGGAGGACAGCUGAGAUUCAGAGAGGUUUACUAACUUGCUGAAGAUUACACAGCUCCAAAAUGGUAGAGGAAGGACUCAACUUGAAGGCCUCAGGAUCCUAAUGUCUCAGCCUUCUGGUGAACACAAGCCCAUCAGAACAGAGCUGGGCCUUCACUAGUCUGGACGAUCAGCUGCUCAGAGCCUUGCAUACAGUGGGAGGCUGAGGAAUGUUCUUUCUAGAAGAAUAGGUGCUCCAGGCUGACUCCAUACCUCCCACUGAAUGACAAUUGUUCUAAAGGUAGACAUUCUUAUUUCAUCAUCAAGAAAAGCACUCUGUAGUGAACAAGGGCACUCACGCAAUUGGAUUCAUGGAGAGAUGUUUGUUUUUCUCCCACUUGUUUACUGUUGCUGGUGUUAGAUCAAGUCUGGCCUUUACUAUUCCAUUAAAAAAUGACCAUUUGUGAUUAGAUAUUUACAAAAAUAUAUUCAGAAUGAUAUAUUUCAGAUAUUACAUUUUUUCUAACAGUUCGUUUUAGUUUUGAAUAGAAGCCUUAAAAUACUUGGCCAGGUGCGGUGGCUCACGCCUGUAAUCCCAGCACUUUGGGAGGCCGAG
rnacentral:lncRNA from 1 species